rnacentral:rRNA from 1 species
UAUGGCGACCGGCGCACGGGUGAGUAACACGUAUCCAACCUGCCGAUGACUCGGGGAUAGCCUUUCGAAAGAAAGAUUAAUACCCGAUGGCAUAGUUCUUCCGCAUGGUAGAACUAUUAAAGAAUUUCGGUCAUCGAUGGGGAUGCGUUCCAUUAGCUUGUUGGCGGGGUAACGGCCCACCAAGGCAUCGAUGGAUAGGGGUUCUGAGAGGAAGGUCCCCCACAUUGGAACUGAGACACGGUCCAAACUCCUACGGGAGGCAGCAG